rnacentral:ncRNA from 1 species
AGUUUUAUUCUUGUUUAGAAGUUUAUUUUUCUUGAUAAUUUAUAUGAAAAUUUAUGUGAGUAAUUAUGUUAUCUCAAUGAUAGAUAAAUUGUUCUCAGUAUUUGGUAUUAGUAAUCAAAGACAUUUGGAAUUAGUAAUUUUGUAUAUGAUUGGCUAAAAUUGUGCCAGCUGCCGCGGUUAGACUUAAAAUUUAAAUAAACAUUAUUGGUAUAUAAGUUAAUUUUUAUUGAUAUAAACAUUUAAUUUUUUUGUGUAGGUAGAAUAUUAUAAAAGGGAAUUGUGUUUAAUUGAAUAGUGAAGCUUUGAAAUUCAAGAUUUAAACUAGGAUUAGAUACCCUAUUAUUUUGAAUGUAAAUAUUAUUACCAGAGUAGUAAGAGUUAGGAUCUUGAAACUUAAAGAAUUUGGCGGUGUUUUAGUCUUUUCAGAGGAAUCUGUUCUGUAAUGGAUAAUACACAUUAUAUUUAACUUAAUUUUGUAAAUAUCAGUUUGUAUACCGCCGUCAUAAGAAUAUUUUAAAAGGAAAAAAUUUUCUGAAAUUUGGGAAGACUGAAGAAGGACAAGAAGAAAAUAUGUCAGGUCAAGGUGCAGCAUAUGGUUAAGUAAGAAAUGGAUUACAAUAAAUUUAUUUAUAUGAAUAAUAUAUUGAAAUAUGUAUUUGAAGGUGGAUUUGAAAGUAAUAUUAUUAUAUUAUAAUAGUAUGAUUGUAGCUCUAAAGCAUGUACACAUCGCCCGUCGUUCUCAUUUUAAUGUGAGACAAGUCGUAACAAAGUAGAUGUACUGGAAAGUGUAUCUAGAGUG